rnacentral:rRNA from 1 species
UACGAGAGGUCCAAACGUUAUUCGGAAUCACUGGGCUUACAGAGUUCGUAGGCGGUCUGGAAAGUCGGGUGUGAAAGCCCCCGGCUCAACCGGGGAAUGGCUCCCGAUACUGGUUGGCUCGAGGACGGUAGGGGUGAGUGGAACUCCAGGUGGAGCGGUGAAAUGCGUAGAUAUCUGGAGGAACACCGGUGGCGAAAGCGGCUCACUGGACCGUCUCUGACGCUGAGGUGCGAAAGCCAGGGUAGCGAACGGG